UGUCUGGAGAGCAAGGUCAGCCUUUUAA
rnacentral:piRNA from 1 species